CUCUCUUUCAUUUUCAAGGGAUAUCAAAUGUGCUAAUAUAUUGGUGGGUGUAAAUAAAUCUGUGAAAAUUGCGGAUUUUGGAUUGGCAAAGGCAACCAAAUUGAAUGAUGUAAAAUCUUUUAAAGGGACACUACGCUGGAUGGCCCCAGAGGUAUUUAAUCAGAAAAAUGAGGGCUAUGGGCUUGCAGUUAAUAUAUGGAGCCUUGGAUGCACUGUGUUAGAGAUGUUGACUUGUCGACCCCCAUAUUCCAACAUGGAAGACGUACGUAUGACAUUUCAUAGAUAUAUAACAUUAUUUUCUUUAAUGUUUUUUCUUGUUUUGUUCUCUUGUUAGUGCUCUUCAAUUACUUGUUAUUCAAAUUGAUGAUAUGGAAAUUGGUUAAGUUUGGCUUUGAUUUUGAAAAUGCUGAUGAUAUUAUAGUAAGGGUUAAGAUCUUGACCCAAAGUCUACCCCUUUUUGAAGGAUUCAACA